UGGGGAAUCUUGCACAAUGGGCGAAAGCCUGAUGCAGCGACGCCGCGUGCGGGAUGAAGGCCUUCGGGUUGUAAACCGCUUUCAGCAGGGACGAGGCCGCAAGGUGACGGUACCUGCAGAAGAAGCCCCGGCUAACUACGUGCCAGCAGCCGCGGUAAUACGUAGGGGGCAAGCGUUAUCCGGAUUCAUUGGGCGUAAAGCGCGCGUAGGCGGUUUGUUAGGUCAGGAGUUAAAUCUGGGGGCUCAACCCCUAUCCGCUCCUGAUACCGGCAGGCUUGAGUCUGGUAGGGGAAGGCGGAAUUCCAAGUGUAGCGGUGAAAUGCGCAGAUAUUUGGAGGAAUACCGGUGGCGAAGGCGACUUUCUGGCCAUAAUCUGACGCUGAGGUACGAAAGCGUGGGUAGCAAACAGG
rnacentral:rRNA from 1 species